rnacentral:rRNA from 1 species
AGUGAACGCUGGCGGUAGGCCUAACACAUGCAAGUCGAACAGCAGCACAGUAAGAGCUUGCUCUUACGGGUGGCGAGUGGCGGACGGGUGAGGAAUACAUCGGAAUCUUCUUUUUCGUGGGGGAUAACGUAGGGAAACUUACGCUAAUACCGCAUACGACCUACGGGUGAAAGCAGGGGAUCUUCGGACCUUGCGCGAUUGAAUGAGCCGAUGUCGGAUUAGCUAGUUGGCGGGGUAAAGGCCCACCAAGGCGACGAUCCGUAGCUGGUCUGAGAGGAUGAUCAGCCACACUGGAACUGAGACACGGUCCAGACUCCUACGGGAGGCAGCAGUGGGGAAUAUUGGACAAUGGGCGCAAGCCUGAUCCAGCCAUACCGCGUGGGUGAAGAAGGCCUUCGGGUUGUAAAGCCCUUUUGUUGGGAAAGAAAAGCAGCAGGUUAAUACCCCGCUGUUCUGACGGUACCCAAAGAAUAAGCACCGGCUAACUUCGUG